GUAGGGAAUAUUGGGCAAUGGAUGAAAGUCUGACCCAGCCAUGCCGCGUGCCGGAUGAAGGCGCUCAGCGUUGUAAACGGCUUUUAUUCGGGAAGAAGAGCAGGGAUGCGUCCCUGUGUGACGGUACCGAAUGAAUAAGCACCGGCUAACUCCGUGCCAGCAGCCGCGGUAAUACGGAGGGUGCGAGCGUUGUCCGGAUUUAUUGGGUUUAAAGGGUGCGUAGGUGGCCAAAUAAGUCAGUGGUGAAAUACGGUUGCUCAACAAUCGAGGUGCCAUUGAUACUGCUUGGCUUGAAAUAAUUGGAGGCUGCCGGAAUGGAUGGUGUAGCGGUGAAAUGCAUAGAUAUCAUCCAGAACACCGAUUGCGAAGGCAGGUGGCUACGAUUUAUUUGACACUGAGGCACGAAAGCAUGGGGAGCAAACAGGAUUAGAAACCCGAGUAGUCC
rnacentral:rRNA from 1 species